GGAGAGCUGUGUGCGGGAAUCGUGAGAGUGCUGUGAUGAAGUUAAGUCAUCCUCUUUUCUGAUAUGCAAAUUACACAUGUUUAUUGAGCCCUGAACCGUAAAAUACGACACCUUUGGCAUCUAGUAUUCGUGGCCAGAUAAGAAAAAAUACAAAAAAAAACUUGCAAGCUAAAUUAACUGACCGUUGUUUGGCAUUGGGCGAAUCUUGGUAGUUGUUAAUAAAAGGCGAUAUUAAAGUGAUUUCGGCACCACUAUAAAAGCAGUAGCGAACUUGGAACAAUUUAACCCUUGAUUUUAGCCUUUAUGAAUGGAGUGUCACAUGAUAUUAUUUUAUUGCUCAACUCUAACCGACAAUCUGCUGCUGCCGACCAUUUUGGGCCAGGCAACAAUCCGCUCUCGAUGCUUAUCGUUGCGAUUAUUUGACAAGUUGAAGUGCCGUUAUACAAUUGGCAAAUAACAAAGAAGCCAAUUAGAUUUGCUGCCGGUGGCGGUGCCUGUGCUUCAGCUAAGCUGAGUAUAUCAUGCAUUAACUUAACUAAAUCAAAUUGGACACUAUCGCCGGGGAUAAUCACAGAUGUGAACAUAUUUGCCAAGCAACAACAGCUCGGAAACAAUUUCAAAUAAUACAAAAA
rnacentral:sRNA from 1 species